ACCUAGACAGAUCUCAAAAAUGGGAGACCACAUGCAAAGGAAACUACGUUUUCACAACACAUGGUUGGAGAGGUCAAAGAAAAUGUGAUGUAUUACUUUCAGUUUUAUCAUCAGCGGGACCAUCUGGGGCUAGUGGUGGGGCUCGAAGAAGGAAGAAGAAAAUAAAGAAGAGAAUCAGAUCCCCAAAGUAGAGAGACUGAAUUACAGCAAUGACCUCGACUUGCAUUUACUAGGAUGAGCUGUUGUGAGAGUAAAUAUGAAAGCUGGAAUUCAUAAUUCAUUCAACCUGUGUUUCAUCCACUUACCCCAAACCAAAACAUAACAAUCAUUGAGCAUCCACCAUUCACAUGUAACUGUGGUGGAGAGAGAGAUGAAAAAACACAAUGCCUAACCUCAAGGAGUUUACACACUACUCAGAGAGAUAAAUACCAUAGACAAAUAAUUAUACUAUACUGUAAGGCUACUUGGGCUAAACCUAUACCAAAAUCACAAGGACAUUGAGGCUCAGUAAGGUGAGAUGACUUGCUCCAGAUCACACAGGGUUGAAGCUGAAAUUUUAAUCUAGAGUCCAGUUCCAGAAUCUGUGCUUAUAAACUGUGCUGUGCUGUAUUUGCUUUAAGAAUAUAAGGGUCAUUUCCUGCUUGAAUAAUCAAGGAAGGCAUGAUGGAAAAGUUAGGGGCAUCAUAAAACCCAAAGACAAUUCUGAUCAUAUUUUUACUUCAACACUUCUACAGGAAAGAAAGCCUUCCCAUCACUAAUAGUGAGUUCUCUGGCAGCAAGCCUCAGUCAUUGCAGCAGGAAUACUGCUUAAAUAUUAUACUGGUAUGUGUGGGGUAAUUUGAAGUCUACCAUCCAUCACCAUCACCACCAAACCUAAUGUAUGAGUUGCCUAUUCCUUCCCGGGAUAGCACACUGCACUACUGAGGAUCACUGUUCUAUGGAAGUAGUUUUCAAACUUGAGCAUGCAUAAAAAGAAGAGCGAAGAGGCUUGUUAAAUACAGCUCUCUUUCAGCAGGUCUGGGGUACUUACUACUAAUGAGCAGUUUUUAGGAAGCAUCCUAGAUGAUUCCGUGUAUCCAGGUGGGCCACAGAAACAUUUGCAAAAACAUUACAUCGGAGCCAUUGUUGACUAUCCCUAAUCUGUAAGAAGCCAAUAGUCAUCGAGACCCAAUGGAGCAAUGCAGCAGAAUGGGGGAAGCCCAGGGGGCAGAGUGAGGGCAUCACCAGGUGAGGAAAAGCAAGAUGGUAAGGCAGAAGGGAAUGGGGAAACCCAAACAAUGAAGAAAUAGAUAUCAUCUAUAUAUCUAUAUCUUUCAAUUUAUCUAUAUAUCCGAUUACCAACUUCAUCAGGAAAACCUAUUUCAGUUUGGUGAAUGGAAAGGGAACCAGCCAAAAAAUAGUUAUUAUUUUCAUACAUCUUAGUAUUUUAUUUUCCUAAGGACUAUCCUCAUGAAAUAUAUACAUACAUUAUACAUUUACACAUAUGCAUAUACAUAUUUGAGAAUACACACACUUUGGCUUCUUAGGCCAUCUUAGCUUUAUUUUAAAUAUAAAGAAACUGGUGCUGAUUCUGCAUAUCAUAUAUAUUUGACUAUACUUCUAUAAAGCAGAAGUCAAGAGCCAUGAUUAUUGUGCAACAGUAUCUGCACAAUUAGAAUAUUAGCAAUAGCACAGUUUUACUUUUGUUUUACAGUUUUCGAACUAUAAAUCAAGUAUGAAUGGCUGAUGGAAAGCCGAGGCUAGCAAAUAGAUGAUAAACCAUGUUACCAUGGGAGGUACAGAUUCAUUUUUAAUUUUAGUUUCUAUGUUAUCCCCAAGCAGCUUUUUUGUAUAUUGAUACGGAAAAUAAUGCCAUCUAUAUGCUGCACAACAGAAGUGUUGAUUUGUUUCUGUACCCCUUGGCUUGCAUCCCUGUUGUCAUCACCCAGCUGAUAUCAUUGUGACAUUUUGACAUUGCCUUGUGACACAGUGACCUGGUGCUUCCAGGAGCCUAGAAGGACAAGUUGACUAAGACACAUGGUGCAUUAGGAAGCAAUGAAGCAAUUCAUUACGGCUACAGAGAGAGUCUGCUCUGGAGACAAGAAUUCUUAUCUAAAGCACAAAAUACUCUCGAUUCUAUUUGCUGUUCUGCUACUGAUUUACUAUGAGAUCUGUAACAAAUAAUCUCAAUUCAUUUGUAACUUAGAUUUCCGUCUGUAAAAUGGAAAUGACCCAACAUAUGUGAUUUUUUUAAAAUCCUAGGGCAGUGAUUGCAUUUGCAACCCAUUCUUGCCAAAGAGAAAUUCGGAAGCACACUUCAAGGAACUAAGUUCAGUGAUAAUCACACUUGAUUGAUUUUCAGUACUGUCACAGUUUGAGAACUAUUUAUUGCCCUGAUUUGCUCUUUUCUCUGCCCUGUAUUAAAGAUCUUGCAUGACAGUUGAUCCAUGAAA
ensembl:lncRNA novel transcript